rnacentral:rRNA from 1 species
AACUGCGAGUGAAGCGGGAAAAGCUCAAAUUUAAAAUCUGAUGGUCUUUGAUCGUCCGAGUUGUAAUUUAGAGAAGCGUCUUCCGCGUCGAGCCGUGCACAAGUCUCCUGGAAUGGAGCAUCAUAGAGGGUGAGAAUCCCGUCUUUGGCAUGGACCUUCGAUGCUUCUGUGAUGUGCUCUCAAAGAGUCGAGUUGUUUGGGAAUGCAGCUCAAAAUGGGUGGUGAACUCCAUCUAAAGCUAAAUAUUGGCGAGAGACCGAUAGCGAACAAGUACCGUGAGGGAAAGAUGAAAAGCACUUUGGAAAGAGAGUGAAACAGUACGUGAAAUUGUUGAAAGGGAAACGCUUCAAGUCAGUCGCGUCGACCGAGACUCAGCCUCGCCUCGGCUUGGUGUACUUCUCGGCUGACGGGCCAGCAUCAAUUUCGUCCCUCGGAUAAUGGCAAGGGAAAGGUGGCACCCUUUUGGGUGUGUUAUAGUCUCUUGUCGAAUGUGAGGGACGGGAUUGAGGACCUCAGCACGCACCUCUCGGUGUCGGGGCUUCGGCCC